rnacentral:rRNA from 1 species
AGAUGCGACCGGCGCACGGGUGAGUAACACGUAUCCAACCUGCCGAUAACUCGGGGAUAGCCUUUCGAAAGAAAGAUUAAUACCCGAUGGCAUAAUAGAACCGCAUGGUUUGAUUAUUAAAGAAUUUCGGUUAUCGAUGGGGAUGCGUUCCAUUAGGCAGUUGGUGGGGUAACGGCCCACCAAACCUUCGAUGGAUAGGGGUUCUGAGAGGAAGGUCCCCCACAUUGGAACUGAGACACGGUCCAA